GUACACUUUGGCAGUACACAUACUAAAAUUGGAAGAUACAGAGAAAAUUAGCGUGGUCCCUGCUCAAGCAUGACACGCAAAUUCAUGAAGCGUUCCAUAUUUUU